GAUUAUAUAGUCAAUAUAUGACAUUGAAUUGCAAAUUCAGAAGAGAACAAGUUUCUAUAAUUU
rnacentral:tRNA from 1 species